AGUGAACGCUGGCGGUAUGCCUUACACAUGCAAGUCGAACGGCAGCGCGGUCUUCGCUUUGGCUGCGAGUGGCGAACGGGUGAGCAAUUCAUCGGAACGUGCCCAUCUGCUUUGUCUAGCUGGGUGACAUCCGGAAUAAUACCCUAAUCGACCAUACGGCGUACGGGGGGGAUCAUCGGACCUUGCGCCCUUGCAGGGGUCGAUGGCGGAUUAGCUAGUUGGCGGGGUAAAGGCCUACCAAGGCGACGAUCUGUAGCUGGUCUGAGAGGACGAGCAGCCACACUGGAACUGAGACACGGCCCAGACUCCUACGGGAGGCAGCAGUGGGGAAUAUUGGACAAUGGGCGAAAGCCUGAUCCAGCAAUACCGCGUGUGUGAUGAAGGCCUUCGGGUUGUAAAGCACUUUUGGCGGGAAAGAAAAGGACUAUGUCAAUACCACGGUGCGCUGACGGUACCCGAAGAAUAAGCACCGGCUAACUACGUG
rnacentral:rRNA from 1 species